CUCUUUAUUUUAAAGUCUGCAUCGUCUGAUAUAAGUAUGGCUACUCCAGCUUUCUUUUGGCGACCAUUAGCAUGAUAUAUGGCUCUCCAUCCCUUACUUUUAAUCUGAAGGUGUCUUUAGGUCUAAAGUGGGUCUCUUGUAAAUAGCAUAUAGAUGGAUCUUGUUUUCUUAUCCAAUCUGUUACCCUGUGUCUUUUGAUUGGAGCAUUUAGUCCAUUGACGUUUAGAGUGAGUACUGAAAAAUGUGAAUCUAUUGCUAUUAUGUUGUCUGUAGAGUUGGAGUUUCUGAUGUUUCUGAUGGUGUUCUCUGGUCCUUUCUAGUCUUUGUUGCUUUGGUCUCUUUCUCUCUCUCUCUCUCUCUCUCUUUUUUUUUUUUUUUUUUUUUUUUUUUUUUUUGGUCUUUUCUCCCCUCAGAGAGUCCCCCUUAAAAUUUCUUGCAGGGCUGGUUUAGUGGUCACGAACUCCUUUAAUUUUUGUUUGUCUGGGAAACUUUGUCUCCUGCUAUUUUGAAUGACAGCCUUGCUGGAUAAAGAAUUCUUGCCUGCAUAUUUUUCUGAUUCAACACAUUGAAUAUAUCCUGCAACUCUUUUCUGGCCUGCCAAGUUUCUGUGUGUAGGUCUGCUGCAAACCUGAACUGUCUUCCCUUGUAGGUUAAGGACUUUUUUUCCCUUGCUGCUUUCAUGAGUCUUUCCUUGCCUGAGUAUUUUGUGAGUUUGACUAGAUAUGCCUUUUUGAUGGUCGGUUUCUGUUGAAUCUAAUGGGAGUCCUCUGUGCUUCCUGGAUUUUGAUUUCUGUGUCUUUCCCCAGGUUAGGAAAGUUUUCUGCUAUGAUUUGCUCACAUAACCCUUCAACCCCUUUUUCUCUCUCUUCAUCUCUGGGACCCCUAUGAUUCUGAUGUUGUUCCUUUUUAAUGAGUCACUGAUUUCUCUAAUUUUUAAAUUGUGCCGUUUUGCCUUAGUCUCGCCUUUUUUUCCUGCUUCAUUUUUCUCCAUAAGGUUGUCCUCUAUAUCUCUGAUUCACUGUUCUACCUCAUCCAUCCUCACCACCGUGGCAUCCCUUUGAGAUUGCAGCUCAGUUAUAGCAUUUUUAUUUCAUCCUGACUAGCUUUUUACUUCUUUUAUCUCCUCAGAAAAGGAUUCUCAUCUAUUUUCAACCCCAGCUAGUAUUCUUAUUAUCACUAUUCUAAAUUCUGGUUCAGACAUCUUGCUUGUAUCUGUGUUGGUUAAUUCCCUGACUGUCAUUUCUUCCUGUUCUUUCUUUUGGGGUGAAUUCCUUUGUUUUAUCAUUUUGAAGGAAGAAAAAGAAUUAAUAAGGUAAAACAAAUUAAAAUUAAAAAAUUAAAAGCAACACAAAAAAAUCAAAGGAUGCUAGAUCCUAGGUGUGUUUUGGUCUGGUUGUUGAAAGGAGCUUGAUAGAUUAGAGAAAAAAGGGAAGAAUAAGAAAAGAAAAGAAAAAAGAAGAAAAUGUUUGAAAAUUUGAAAAAAUGAAUACAAUGAAAUAGAAUAAAAUGAAAUGAAAUAAAAUAGAAUUUGAAAAUUUACAAAAAAGUAAAAAAUAUAUUAGAAAAAAAUUAAAAGCAUUUUUAAUAAAAAUGGAAAAUAAAAAUACAUUUUUUUCUCUUUAUGUAUUCAAGAAUAAGAAAAGAAAAAUUAAAAAAAAUGAAUAGAUGGACCAGCAAACAGACAAAUAGGAUUGAAAUUACAUUGGUUUCCCCUAGAAGUCAAACUAUGAAGCCCUUUAUAGUCCAUAAACUAAGCAGGAGAGACUUGUGUUCCUGAAGAGCAAGGUUGGCCCAGAUGGGCGGGGCUUAGUGUAAUGGCUCCGUUCUCCAUUAGAUGGCGCUGCUUAGCUUACUGGGGUGGAUUGUUGUGGUGCAUGCACCACAGGAGGGGUGAAAAUGGUGCAUGAACAGGAGGGGGUGAAAGUAGCGUUGCCCAGCUACCCAGUCUCCACUAUCAGAAUUCUGUGCUUUCCCGACCGGCAGUCGCUCACCCCUUCUUUGUCUCUGGCUUCUGUCCAAUUCCUGCUUUUACACUGUCCUUGACCAAUCCAUCAGGCUGCCAGGUGGCACCUCGUCCUGAGUUUUAUCUCAUGUGGGGCUGUGUUUCCCAGCCCCUCACUUCUGAGGGACUGUGGCUUUGACCUGCUCAGACCUUCUGGGGGAGGGUCUCACUGAGGAAUGGCCAGUGCACAGCUGCCCCCAGGAACGUUCACAGGACCAUGCUUCUGCCAAUGCCCAGAGACUGCAGCUGGGUGCCAGUCUGCCCCAGAAAAAGUUCACACAAUCAUGUAGCAGCAGCAUUUCGGGGAUUAUGGUAAAUUACAACACACAUCUGGCACCAGGUUUCCCCCUUAAUGUCCUUUUUCCAACACCAGCAAAUGUGGUUGUUCUCCAGGGCCUGCUAGGACCAUUGCCUGUGGGGUGGCCACACAGCCUCUACUAAAUGUCCUCCCACCAGGGGAACUGCCCCUCCUCAUGUGGCCCAAGAAUCUCCUGGACUCCACUCCACUCCUGGAGAUUUGCCCUUCCUACCAGAGCACUGCCAGAUCAAAAGUUUCAACUUAAAGCCAAAGAGACCACUGCAAAGCAGAAUAAACUUUGGGAAAAACUUCUGUCAGGAAAAGGAUAUGGCGAAAGAGUGAUGGUUGAUGAUUGAGGAAAAAUGUCUGAUGUUUAAUGAUGGAUGUUGUGAACCAGUUAGCCAGAUACUCCAGUGUAUGAAGAGAAAUUGAGAUCAACGUCUUAAACUCAAAAGCUCCUCUGAAGUGGUCUGAGCAAGAGAUGGAAUAUUCUGGAAACUCUAUCAGAUUCACAGGAUGGCAGCCCUUGAUGUGAAUCAGAGGAAAGGAAACUCGAAGAGGCAAGGAUGGUGGCUGGGUUACUGAUGGAUUCUUCUCAGGUAUGUAGAAAGUUGACCUUUCUUCAGAAUGUCCUGUUUCUCUCUGUCAGAUACAAGCCUUAUCUUCUUGUAAUGUCCCCAGGCUUUUUAUAGCAAUUAAUGGCCCUGCUUAAGGAAUGAGUCCCAGGUAAAUGUCUCCAGGACUCAUGCCAUCUCAGAAUACAUAGGGAUUAUACUGGAUGUGAUUCUUUUAUCUCCGUAUUCAUUAAUUCUUUCUGAUGCUUGAUCAUGCUUGUUGGCUUAUCAUUUCACUGAGUGUUAUGAUAGAUACUGAGGAAUGAUAUGAAGGUAUCUAAUCUCAUGGAAUGCAUGUGUUACUGUGGAAAUAAUUAAUCUCUUAGUAGAUUUUACAGUGUUACAGUGUGCUCAGUGCUAACCGCAGCCUAUAAAUAGAGGAGGAAAAUAAAGCAAGAAGAGCCCACAAUAAAGUUGUGGUAACAUAAGUUUCAUCACAUGUCAGACAUGCUGGUAAAUCCACAUGACUGGCUGUGAUCACCAGGCACGUCUAUAGCUGGAGAGCAGACGAGGUCUGGGCCCGAGAGUACUGUAGGCUUCUGGUCUACCUUCCUCAGUCCUUCAUCUUUCUGAGAACCUCAAAGAAGAUGCUAGUUCGCUGAAGGCAGCAUGUGUCUGAUGGUUUAGCACUUAGUGACCUUUGAGUAUGUAGCUGUGGACUUUACCCAGGAGGAGUGGACUUUGUUGGAUCAAACACAGAUUGCUCUCUACAGAGAUGUGAUGUUGGAGAACUACCAGAAUCUCAUCACACUAGGAUACAAAUCAUGC